GAUGAACGCUAGCUACAGGCUUAACACAUGCAAGUCGAGGGAAACGAUAGAGAAAGCUUGCUUUUUCUAGGCGUCGACCGGCGCACGGGUGAGUAACGCGUAUCCAACCUGCCCAUCACUUGGGAUAACCUUGCGAAAGUAAGACUAAUACCCAAUGACGUCUCUAGAAGACAUCUGAAAGAGAUUAAAGAUUUAUCGGUGAUGGAUGGGGAUGCGUCUGAUUAGCUUGUUGGCGGGGUAACGGCCCACCAAGGCGACGAUCAGUAGGGGUUCCUGAGAGGAAGGUCCCCCCACAUUGGAACUGAGACACGGUCCAAACUCCUACGGGAGGCAGCAGUUGAGGAAUAUUGGUCAAAUGGACGAGAGUCUGACCAGCCAAGUAGCGUGCAGGAUGAC
rnacentral:rRNA from 1 species